GCUGGGCUUACUUCGGUUACCCGUUUUUAGCUCGAAGCGACUUCGAGUAUCGCUACUCUUUCUUUACGAGACGCUAGUCAAUCUGAGGUCCCUUUCCCCUAAUAUUAUCUCAAAUUUCUCUAAAAGUUUGCCGAUACCCAUUCAUACUCGUGAGAAGAGAGAAAUGCUGCAAGAGCCAACUUCUUCGCUGAACACAGUACAUCAGCCCGAAGACAGCAUGUGUCCAUAAAUUAUUCUUGAUAAUUCGGAGGCAGGUCGAUGUAAAGUUCAACGCGGAACUUACGUCUGUCAAUAGUUGGAUUGACCGUGCGGCUUAGCAGACAAACUGACGUCUGCAUCGAUGGUGGCACUGAGACGGAUCUGAAACACUGUUUGGUAGAAUUCAUUUACAGAUGUUGGCUGACACUUAAAGAUAUCUGUAUAUUUUACUGAUUUUGGAUUGUUUGACCCUUUUAAACGUUUUUAGUGUUUGAAAUAUUUUAAUCUCAUGUAUUUUAAUCACGUAGUAUAUUGUUUUGUCACGAUAUAACUUA